UACGGGGGGGGCAAGCGUUGUUCGGAAUUACUGGGCGGAAAGGGUUUGUAGGUGGCUUGUUAAGUCAGACGUGAAAUCCCUCAGCUUAACUGGGGAACUGCGUCUGAGACUGGUGAGCUUGAGUGCAGGAGAGGAACGCGGAAUUCCAGGUGUAGCGGUGAAAUGCGUAGAUAUCUGGAGGAACACCGGUGGCGAAGGCGGCGUUCUGGACUGCAACUGACACUGAUGAACGAAAGCCAGGGGAGCAAACGGG
rnacentral:rRNA from 1 species